CGGCUGUGAUGGUCAUCUGGUAAGGAACUGCAUUUGCACUAUCCUACCACUCUAUUCUAUCCUAUCACAUGGUGUCCGGUUCGAACGCUGCGGUGGUCCCCAACUCGUGUCGGUAACGCACGAUUGCUUGUGGGGCCUUAAGCAAUGAAAGACAAUCUUGAGGGAGGUUUCACUCUGCAGAGGAUCUUUCACCGUGGCGUGGCGAGUGGGAUUGCAUCAGUAAUGGGUGAGUGGUGAUGGGAUUGCACCAGUGAUGGGUGAGUGGUGAGAAGCGCAUCGGAUGUGGUGACUUAUACUU
rfam:Pseudogymnoascus pannorum VKM F-4516 (FW-969) contig_609, whole genome shotgun sequence.